rnacentral:rRNA from 1 species
UAUAUCCGACAAUGGGCGAAAGCCUGUUCCAGCCAUGCCGCGAGGGUGAAGAAGGCCCUUGGGUUGUAAAGCCCUUUUUGUGGGAAAGAAAUCUUUCCGGUUAAUACCCGGAGAGGAUGACGGUACCCAAAGAAUACGCAUCGGCGCACUUCGUGCCAGCAGCCGCGGUAAUACGAAGGGUGCAAGCGUUACUUGGAAUUACCGGGCGUAAAGCGUGCGUAGGUGGUUCGUUAAGUCAGAUGUGAAAGCCCCGGGCUCAACCUGGGAAUUGCAUUGGAUACUGGCGGGCUAGAGUACGGUAGAGGGUGGCGGAAUUCCUGGUGUAGCAGUGAAAUGCGUAGAGAUCAGGAGGAACAUCCGUGGAGAAGGCGGCCACCUGGACCAGUACUGACACUGAGGCACGAAAGCGUGGGGAGCAAAC